rnacentral:lncRNA from 1 species
ACCACGUGGCUAUGGCAGAGCUUAAACAUCCCACAGAAGCGCUCACGCAGGGGGCCGGAAAGUUCCAUAAGCGACCACUCGACUGUCCCCGCGGGCUUGUGGCCUCUAGAACUUUCUUGCAACUCGGAGCUCUAUCCCUGCUCCGGGGUCCCUCCGCUCCUUUUCUUCUCGGCCCGUUUCCACUACCCUUGCUCCCCUAGUCGCAUGGAGCUGUAACGGCGGCGUCCGGGCUGGCAGCAGCACAGACACUGCCACGUCCCACGCCACCGCGGGGUGGGCAGCACGGCAGAUGUCUUUCGACGGCGACCCGGACCCCAGGGAGGUUGCUGUUGGAUCAGUCCUGAUGCAUAAGUGAACAUGUUGAAGCUCGGAGAGGUUGAAAGGCCUUUGCUGCUUGCAGUUCCCAUCCAGCUAGAGCAGAUGGCCAAUAGGAGUAGUGUGCGUGCCACAUGUUGACUUUUAAAUUUUCCAGCAGCAACAUGAAAGAAGAGUAAAAAGAAAAAGGUGAAAAUGAUUUAUAAUGAAUUUUUUUAACCCAGCGUAUCCGAAAUAUUAUCAUUUCCACAUAUAGGCAAAACACAACAGUAUGAAUGGGGUAUUUUACAUUGGUUUUUUUUUUUUGUCCCCGCAAAGACUUUCCGGUGUGUGCGUUUAUGCUCACAGCACACCUCAAUUUGAACUCUACGACCGGGCUUCACGCCAAACAGCAGAGACAAAGCACUGGCACUAAAUCUCAUAGAAACAGGAUGAGCCUGGGUAUCAUGAUAGGCAGCAGGGCUGGAAGCUGGAACCAAACUGAUUUCUCCCCAGGGAUCUUUGGUGGUGUCUAAUUGAUCACAGUGUCCUGUAGUAAGCCAUCAUGAUCUGUAUAACCCCGGUAACUCUAGGUCUGGCUAAAGGCAUUCUGCCUUGAAUCACCACAAUGGAAAAUCAUGGUGCCUCAUCUAAUUCCCAGAUCUAGUCAGUCCACAGGCCAGAGCCCGUGAGGUGAGCCUGUAAAGGUGAGGCCAGGCACAUGUAACGCUACAAGUGUGUACUUUCAGCCUGCCUCCUCCCUUCUCGUGGGACCCGUGGCCAUUUACCAGGGGCUUGCACUAGCCCGUGUGAAUCACUGGGGAAGUAGAAUGCCACUUGGUCCAAUGGUCAGAAGUGGAGUCAGCCCACGUCCCUUUCACUAUCAGCCACCCUGUGGCUCUUUCCCCGGUUCUUGAAUCCAUACUUGUAAUAAACACAAUUGGUAGCUGGAUAAAUUCCCAGAGGGGCUUCCUGACUCAAGGACUGAGGGUGAUAAUGGAAGGAAAGAACAAAGGAAGCCUCUGGCACAUUAUCAUAAUUGAGUCCCUGGGAACUGAUUUGAUCAUCUCACUGUACCCCAAGACAUCAUGCUGAGUGGACCUGAUGCAUAGGAAGUGGCAAAUAUUUCACCACAAGGUGAGAGAGAAGCCCCUUGAAAAUUCAGGGAGGUGAUACCUCAGUGAACUUCCUGGGCAUGCAGUGGGCUGAGGCAUGUUGAGACGGUCCCUCCAAAGAGAAAGACAAGUUGCCUUACUUGGAACCCUCUGCUUGCUAAAAAAGAAGCAUGACACUCAGUGGGCCAUUUUCUGGAGAUGGCAUACCCCAUUAGGAUGCUACACAGAGCCUUUUCCAAGCUUUAAUAAGAGACUCACAGUUCAGCCCUCUGGAAUUUGAAAUAAACUUAAAGCUAAGACCUCCACACACAAAAAAUAAUAAUUUGCCAGGAGGAAAAGCUCCUGGCUUGCUGUAAUUAUUUACUGAAACGGAAUGACUGUGAUACAUGUGGUCUUAAGACCUGACCUGCCCAUGAUAAACUGGGUGUUGUCUGACCAAACCAUGAGUACCAUCAAGUACAAUGAUGCAGCCACUUUAGAAAAUGGUCUGGCAAUUCCUUGAAAGGUUAAACACAGAGUUACCAUAUGACUCACCAAUUCUACUCCUAGGUAUAGACCCAAGAGAAUCGAAAAUGGAUUUUUAGAUAGAUGGUUGUACACAUAUGUUCAUAGAAGAACUGUUCACAAUAGCCAAAAGGUAGAAACAACCAAAAUGAACAGAUGAAUAGAUAAACAAAAUGUGGUCUAUUCAUACAAUGGAGCCGUAAAAAGGGAUGAAGUACUGAUCCAUGCUACAACAUGGAUACAACAUUGAAAGCAUUAUGCUGAGUGAAAGAAGCCAUUCACCAAAGGCCACAUUUUGUGUGAUUCCAUUUAUAGGAAAUAUCCAGACUAGGCAAAUCUAGAGACAAAAAGCAGAUUAGUGGUAGCCUUGGCCUAGGAAUUUAGGGGAACAUGGGGAAUGACUGCUAAUGGGCACAGAGUUUCUUUUUGAGGUGAUAAAAAAAGGUUCUAAAAUUACAUUUUGGUGAUGGUUGCACAGGAUUUCAAGAAUUGUGGGAUAGGAUGGCCACUCAUGAUGGUUUGGGAUCAUCUAAAUGACAGCCAAAUUCCUCGAAUUUUUGGUUUGGGUCACAGAGGGAAUUUCUAUAACAAUGCUUAAGGAAUUACUUAUCUUUUACAGGCACAAGAAUAAAACAACUA